GUAAUUUUAGUUUAAUUAAAAUAAUGAUUUGUCUAGUCAUGGAUAGUUGCUGAACUAAAUUACU
rnacentral:tRNA from 1 species